UGAGGAAUAUUGCGCAAUGGAGGAAACUCUGACGCAGCCAUGCCGCGUGUAGGAAGAAUGUCCUACGGAUUGUAAACUACUUUUAUACAAGAAGAAACUUUAGUACGUGUACUAGAUUGACGGUAUUGUAUGAAUAAGCACCGGCUAACUCCGUGCCAGCAGCCGCGGUAAUACGGAGGGUGCAAGCGUUAUCCGGAUUUAUUGGGUUUAAAGGGUCCGCAGGCGGAAUUCUAAGUCAGUGGUGAAAGCCUACAGCUUAACUGUAGAACUGCCAUUGAUACUGGAAUUCUUGAGUGUGGUUGAAGUAGACGGAAUAUGUCAUGUAGCGGUGAAAUGCAUAGAUAUGACAUAGAACACCAAUUGCGUAGGCAGUUUACUAAACCAUUACUGACGCUCAUGGACGAAAGUGUGGGGAGCGAACAGG
rnacentral:rRNA from 1 species